UGACAAGAAUAAAAAGCGCCGAGACCUUCUCUUCGUCCAUUUUGGAGCAGCUUCUUCUCUGCUGUUUUGACCCACGAUGAGCAUGAAGUGCAUGGGCUCAUGGGAAGUUUCUGUGCUGUCCACUGGGAUGAAUAGACUGAGAUCUGUUAAAUUCAAAGCCACCUUCACAUGAACUUUGAGAGCUUGAUGACCAUGGGUUGAGUUGGUUCCCCCCCACCUUUUUUGGUCAUGGUGCACCAUAAUGAUGUUCAGGUAGUGUCUGCACAAUGAGCUCUCACCAAGGACCUGCAACUCCCAAGGGCUUGUUUGGGUUUGUCCAAGAUUGAGUGGCUGAACUCCUUUGGUGAUUAUUAGGUUGCAUACCUGUAGUACACUCAACAGGUGGCACACCUGAUGUGGUGAAUUCACAGGACUGCAGUGGAUUUUUCAAGUUCUGCUCCCUUGAAUACUGAAUCUGUUCCAUGGACUGACCUUUUUAAAGGUCAGAAGUUGAGCUGGCUGAAGCCCGAUGUUCAUCCCUGUGCUACAGAUCUGCUGGACUGAAGUGUUGACUGGUGUUAAUGACUGCCAGAACUUAUUUUUUUGUAGUUUAUUUCUAAGAUUGCGAAAUAAAUGGCUAUUUGAA